GGAAUAUUGCGCAAUGGGCGAAAGCCUGACGCAGCAAUACCGCGUGAGUGAGGAAGGGUUUCGGCUCGUAAAACUCUGUCAAAUGGGAAGAAAGGCCCACAUUCGAAUAGGGUGUGGGAUUGACGGUACCAGUAAAGGAAGCACCGGCUACCUUCGUGCCAGCCGCCGCGGUAAUACGAAGGGUGCAAGCGUUGUUCGGAUUUAUUGGGCGUAAAGCGCGCGCAGGCGGAUCAGCAAGUCAGAUGUGAAAUCUCGGGGCUCAACCCCGAAACUGCGUCUGAAACUGCUAAUCUAGAAUCUUGGAGAGGGAAGGGGAAUUUCUCAUGUAGGGGUAAAAUCCGUAGAGAUGAGAAGGAACACCAGAGGCGAAGGCGCCUUCCUGGACAAGUUAUUGACGCUGAGGCGCGAAAGCGUGGGGGGCAAAC
rnacentral:rRNA from 1 species